UACGUAGGGGGCAAGCGUUGUCCGGAUUUAUUGGGCGUAAAGAGCGUGUAGGCGGCCAAGCAGGUCCGCUGUGAAAACUCGAGGCUCAACCUCGAGACGUCGGUGGAAACCGUUUGGCUAGAGUCCGGAAGAGGAGAGUGGAAUUCCCGGUGUAGCGGUGAAAUGCGCAGAUAUCGGGAAGAACACCCGUGGCGAAGGCGGCUCUCUGGGACGGUACUGACGCUGAGGUGCGAAAGCGUGGGGAGCAAACAGG
rnacentral:rRNA from 1 species